AAUAGAUACCCCGGUAGUCCACGCCGUAAACGAUGAGUGCUAAGUGUUAGAGGGUUUCCGCCCUUUAGUGCUGCAGCUAACGCAUUAAGCACUCCGCCUGGGGAGUACGGUCGCAAGACUGAAACUCAAAGGAAUUGACGGGGGCCCGCACAAGCGGUGGAGCAUGUGGUUUAAUUCGAAGCAACGCGAAGAACCUUACCAGGUCUUGACAUCCUCUGACAACUCUAGAGAUAGAGCGUUCCCCUUCGGGGGACAGAGUGACAGGUGGUGCAUGGUUGUCGUCAGCUCGUGUCGUGAGAUGUUGGGUUAAGUCCCGCAACGAGCGCAACCCUUGAUCUUAGCUGCCAGCAUUCAGUUGGGCACUCUAAGGUGACUGCCGGUGACAAACCGGAGGAAGGUGGGGAUGACGUCAAAUCAUCAUGCCCCUUAUGACCUGGGCUACACACGUGCUACAAUGGAUGGUACAAAGGGCUGCAAGACCGCGAGGUCAAGCCAAUCCCAUAAAACCAUUCUCAGUUCGGAUUGU
rnacentral:rRNA from 1 species